CCUACGGGGGGCUGCAGUGGGGAAUAUUGGACAAUGGGCGAAAGCCUGAUCCAGCCAUGCCGCGUGUGUGAAGAAGGCCUUCGGGUUGUAAAGCACUUUCAGUGGGGAAGAAAGCCUUGGGGCUAAUACCCUCGAGGAAGGACAUCACCCACAGAAGAAGCACCGGCUAACUCCGUGCCAGCAGCCGCGGUAAUACGGAGGGUGCGAGCGUUAAUCGGAAUUACUGGGCGUAGAGCGCGCGUAGGCGGUCUGAUAAGCCGGUUGUGAAAGCCCCGGGCUCAACCUGGGAACGGCAUCCGGAACUGUCAGGCUAGAGUGCAGGAGAGGAAGGUAGAAUUCCCGGUGUAGCGGUGAAAUGCGUAGAGAUCGGGAGGAAUACCAGUGGCGAAGGCGGCCUUCUGGACUGACACUGACGCUGAGGUGCGAAAGCGUGGGUAGCAAACAGGAUUAGAUACCCCAGUAGUC
rnacentral:rRNA from 1 species